AUACGUAGGGUGCGAGCGUUGUCCGGAAUUACUGGGCGUAAAGAGCUCGUAGGUGGUUUGUCGCGUCGUCUGUGAAAUUCCGGGGCUUAACUCCGGGCGUGCAGGCGAUACGGGCAUAACUUGAGUACUGUAGGGGAGACUGGAAUUCCUGGUGUAGCGGUGAAAUGGGCAGAUAUCAGGAGGAACACCGGUGGCGAAGGCGGGUCUCUGGUCAGUAACGGACGUUGAGGGGCGAUAUCAUGGGUAGUGAACAGGAUUAGUUUCCCUGGUAGUCCAUGUCGGAAACGGUGGGCGCACGGUGUAGGGGUUUUCCACGCUUUCUGUGCCGUAGCUACCGCAUUAAGCGAUCCGCCUGGGGCGUACGGCCGCAAGGCUAAAACUCAAAGGAAUUGUCGUGG
rnacentral:rRNA from 1 species